rnacentral:rRNA from 1 species
UACGUAGGUGGCGAGCGUUGUCCGGAAUUACUGGGUGUAAAGGGCGUGUAGGCGGGAAUGCAAGUCAGAUGUGAAAUACCGUGGCUUAACCACGGGGCUGCAUCUGAAACUGUGUUUCUUGAGUGUCGGAGAGGAAAGUGGAAUUCCCAGUGUAGCGGUGAAAUGCGUAGAUAUUGGGAGGAACACCAGUGGCGAAGGCGACUUUCUGGACGAUAACUGACGCUGAGGCGCGAAAGCGUGGGGAGCAAACAGGAUUAGAUACCCUGGUAGUCCACGCUGUAAACGAUGGAUACUAGGUGUGGGAGGUAUCGACCCCUUCCGUGCCGCAGUUAACACAAUAAGUAUCCCACCUGGGGAGUACGGCCGCAAGGUUGAA